rnacentral:rRNA from 1 species
CACGUAGGGCGCAAGCGUUGUCCGGAAUUAUUGGGCGUAAAGAGCUCGUAGGCGGUCUGUUGCGUCUGCUGUGAAAACCCGGGGCUUAACCCCUGGCUUGCAGUGGAUACGGACAGACUAGAGGUAGGUAGGGGAGAAUGGAAUUCCCGGUGUAGCGGUGAAAUGCGCAGAUAUUGGGAAGAACACCGGUGGCGAAGGCGGCUCACUGGCCCGAUACUGACGCUGAGGAACGAAAGCAUGGGGAGCAAACAGG